GUAAGUAGAGGAAAGUCCGGGCAUCCACAGUCUGUAAUGAUUGUAGUGUUUGUACUGCGUCUAAUAAAUGCAGGUAGCAUAUGCUAACGACAGACCUAAGACCUAAACUGCAAAGCAUGGUUGAUAAGUCAUAAAGUGCCACAGAAACUAUUUUUCUUUGAAAAAAGAAAGUGAAAAGAGGUAAACUCUGCAAGGAUGAAACCCAAAUAUUGGUAGGGGAAUUUCAUGAAGGGAAUAAAACUGGAUUGAAAAUGCGUAAUGCAUAGAUAAAUAAUCGGUUGAAAAACAGAACUCGGCUUAUC
rnacentral:RNase_P_RNA from 1 species